CCUACGGGUGGCAGCAGUGAGGAAUAUUGGUCAAUGGGCGAGAGCCUGAACCAGCCAAGUCGCGUGAAGGAUGAAGGAUCUAUGGUUUGUAAACUUCUUUUAUAUGGGAAUAAAGUGAGGAACGUGUUCCUUUUUGUAUGUACCAUAUGAAUAAGCAUCGGCUAACUCCGUGCCAGCAGCCGCGGUCAUACGUAGGAUCCGAGCAUUAUCCGGAGUGACUGGGUGUAAAGAGUUGCGUAGGUGGCAUAAUAAGUAGCUAGUGAAAUCCGGUGGCUCAACCAUUCAGACUAUUAGCUAAACUGUUAAGCUCGAGACCGUUAGGGGUAACUGGAAUUUCUAGUGUAGGAGUGAAAUCCGUAGAUAUUAGAAGGAACACCAAUAGCGUAGGCAGGUUGCUGGGACGGUUCUGACACUAAGGCACGAAAGCGUAGGGAGCAAACGGGAUUAGAUACCCUAGUAGUC
rnacentral:rRNA from 1 species